CCUACGGGAGGCAGCAGUCGAGAAUCAUUCACAAUGGGGGAAACCCUGAUGGUGCGACGCCGCGUGGGGGAAUGAAGGUCUUCGGAUUUUAAACCCCUGUCAUGUGGGAGCAAAUGAAAAAGAUAGUACCAUAAGAGGAAGAGACGGCUAACUCUGUGCCAGCAGCCGCGGUAAUACAGAGGUCGCAAGCGUUGUCCGGAAUCACUGGGCGUAAAGCGUGCGUAGGCUGUUUCGUAAGUCGUGUGUGAAAGGCGCGGGCUCAACCCGCGGACGGCACAUGAUACUGCGAGGCUAGAGUAAUGGAGGGGGGACCAGAAUUCUCGGUGUAGCAGUGAAAUGCGUAGAUAUCGGGAGGAACACUCGUGGCGAAGGCGGGUUCCUGGACAUUAACUGACGCUGAGGCACGAAGGCCAGGGGAGCGAAAGGGAUUAGAUACCCGAGUAGUC
rnacentral:rRNA from 1 species